CAAAGACCACAUGUCUUUCAUCUACACAAUCCAUCUAAAACACCUUAAGCCCCUAAUUCAUAGGGGUUUUUGCUUAAACCCCCCAUUUAUUAUAGUGUUUGCCUAAACCCCCCAUUUGUCAUAGUAUUAGACUUUACCCCCCACUGCAGAAAUAAAACCAGAGUUGAAGAAGAAGGAAGAUGGAGAAGAAAGCUUAGAUCUAAUGAGAGAAUAGAAGAAGAAGAAGAAGAUAUGUUAAUGGACACUUACCUUUUGACUUGUAGAUCCUUCACCACGUUUCAUGAUAUAUUCAAAUUCAAAGGUAGAUGAAGAAUAGAAGAAGAAGAAGAAGAUAAAGAUAGAAUGAGGAAUGGAGAAGAGAAGAAAUUGUUGCUUUUAAGGAGGAAGAUGACCUCACAACGGAUACUUUGCGCGUCGUUGGAUGGGCGACACGUGGACUGGUAGGUGAAGUAAAUUUUUCGAUUUUGGUUUUAAGAAUUUUUACUUUUCGGG
rnacentral:lncRNA from 1 species